UCGAGAAUCUUCGGCAAUGGGCGCAAGCCUGACCGAGCGACGCCGCGUGGAGGACGAAGGCCUUCGGGUUGUAAACUCCUGUCGAGGGGGAGGAAGGGGUGGUGCAGAACCAUCCUUGACCGAUCCCUGGAGGAAGCACGGGCUAAGUUCGUGCCAGCAGCCGCGGUAAGACGAACCGUGCGAACGUUAUUCGGAAUCACUGGGCUUAAAGCGCGUGUAGGCGGCCCGGCGCGUCAGUCGCUGAAAUCCCCCGGCUCAACCGGGGAAGGGGCGGUGAUACGGCCGGGCUGGAGGGGGGUAGGGGGGACGGGAACUUCCGGUGGAGCGGUGAAAUGCGUUGAGAUCGGAAGGAACGCCCGCGGCGAAAGCGCGUCCCUGGACCCCACCUGACGCUGAGACGCGAAAGCCAGGGGAGCGAACGGGAUUAGAUACCCCCGUAGUCC
rnacentral:rRNA from 1 species